UACGAAGGGGGCUAGCGUUGUUCGGAAUUACUGGGCGUAAAGCGCACGUAGGCGGGUUGUUAAGUCAGGGGUGAAAUCCUGGAGCUCAACUCCAGAACUGCCUUUGAUACUGGCAACCUAGAGACUGGAAGAGGUUAGUGGAAUUCCCAGUGUAGAGGUGAAAUUCGUAGAUAUUGGGAAGAACACCAGUGGCGAAGGCGGCUCACUGGUCCGGUACUGACGCUGAUGUGCGAAAGCGUGGGGAGCAAACAGG
rnacentral:rRNA from 1 species